rnacentral:rRNA from 1 species
AGCGUAGGCGGGACGGUAAGUCAGGUGUGAAAUAUACGUGCUCAACAUGUAGACUGCACUUGAAACUGCUGUUCUUGAGUGAAGUAGAGGUAAGCGGAAUUCCUAGUGUAGCGGUGAAAUGCGUAGAUAUUAGGAGGAACAUCGGUGGCGAAGGCGGCUUACUGGGCUUUUACUGACGCUGAGGCUCGAAAGCGUGGGAGCAAACA